GGUUGGAAAAGAUACAGAAUGUAAAAGCGUGGUUUACGAUAUUACAGUUUAGGAUAAGAUACUUUUCGGCAGGUAUCCCUUUUUGGCCUGUUCCAUGGCGACGGCUUUCUCUGCCGUAUGGCUACCGCCGGCGCACAGUAGUUUCAUCGCAGUGAAAGCGCCAAAGCUGCUUCCUCCAAUUUCACGGGGGAAAAAGCCGCUUCUUCGACGCAGACAAAGUGAAUCACCAUUUUCACCGCUUUGUUCGCGCAACCGCGCCGCUGAGGCUACGAGGGAAGAUGAAGAGCAGAGCGAUGAGAUGUCGAUAAGCAUUGAUGUUCUUAAACGCUUUAUCGGUCUUAAUUUGGGUAACUGGACUGGCUCGUUUCAUCAAUUUGAUGGCAACGGGAAUUUGCUGCAUAAGAUAAGCACAAAGCUUGCUGCCAGCUCGUAUGGGGAAGAAGAACUCAUGAGUUUGAUUCAAUCGUUAUACAUAAAACAACCUCCAUUUAGUGGUUUUGGGACCCCAGAUGAACCGGAAUGGUUUGAAUACAAGAUUAAAGAAUCCAACAUGUUCACAGUGGAUAAAUAUCAGCAGAUUGGAUUUUUCCCCGAGGAGAAGGCGUUCGCAUUGAGAUAUCAGACAGCUGGCAUGUUGGAGAUGGUUAUAAGACAAGGUGUGCUGGGUGAAGAUGAUACUGGAGAGGAAUCUCCCAGAAAUUUAAAGCUUCCUUCUCGACGACCUGCCAUUGUUUGUGAGAACUGCCUUUAUUCACUCGUGAGGGAUGCAAGAAUCAGAGCUUUUCAUAUCUUGGACCCGAAAGGCAUACUAGAAAUGCUACUUGUAUUCCUGGAAGAAAGAGAUAGCACUGUGAUUAAUCAUCCUUCCUUCGGCAAUUUUAAGGAUUCAGAUAGGCUCACUCCUCAUUUGGGGACAUGGAAGGGCCACUCUACGACGAAACGCAGUGGUGUUUAUGGAGCUACAAUAGCCGAAGCUGAUACAAUUGCUACCCUCGAAAUGACACAGGAUGGUCAGCUCAUCCAGGACAUAAAAUCUAAAUCAGAUGGCAAGGAAACAGCAACUGUCAACUGGACAGGAUCAUUGUCAAACAACCUGAUAACAUUCGAUGGAGGUUUUCAGGUGACAUUGUUGCCUGGAGGCAUGUACAUGGGAUGCCCGACCGAUGUGGCGAAGAGUGUGCAGGAAUUAAAGUCUUUCCACCUCGAACUCUGUUGGGCCGAAUCGCCAUCCAAGCGACAGAGGCUCGUUCGCACCUUCGACGCCGAAGGGCUUGCGGUUUCGUCGACAUAUUUUCUUGAAACAAAGGAAUGAUCACACUCUAUGCUCUUCGAUCGAAUUUUAAUGUCUUUGGAUAAGAUAUCUACUAUGCACACAUGAUAACAAGAAUGCGGAGCAAUCAACGCCAUUGACGGCCACCGAGCUUGUUUGACAUGAGGUUAUCCUGGGCCCACAGGUGUCUCCUUUUCUGAGUGCCACGUGGUGCUUACUCAAUCUAUCUAUGCAGACAGCGAGGCGGGAUUU